CCUGUGCAAUCGGUCGGUUCGGUUCCGAACCGAACCGAACCGAAAAAACCGAAAACCGAAGUGUUAAAAUUUCAAAAACCGAAAAAACCGAUUAUGAUGAUAUAACCGAACCGAACCGAACCGAUAAAAUCGGUUCGGUUCGGUUCGAUUCAAACCGAAAUCUGCAAUUUUUUAAAAAGUGAUGAAAUGCAACUAUGAGAUUGGAAGCAGAGGAGAAUUACUCAAAAGUAUUAAAAUUCACAAUAAAACAAAAUUAACGAACCAGUGGAUGAGGAUAAGCCCUUCUCUCUCUCUCUUUAAUCAUCAAAACUGAUUUUUAAUUAUUUUAUUUUAUUUUCUCUCUCUAACAACCUCCAUAUUUAUCAGAAGAAAUCUACAAAUGGGAUCUCCAUUUCUGUUUCUUCUGUAAUCUGUAAUCUGUAAUCCAUUUCUUGAAGAACCCCAUCUCUCAAAUUCUUUAUCUUUGCCUUCUUGUUUCAAAUCUCAAUGUCUGCAGCUUUAGACAGUAGUAGAGGGAUGAGAGAGAUCCAAUCUUCUGGAUAUGUCCGCGGAGGGAUCGUCUGCGUCGCCACGCCCGGGAUCUUCGACUCGUUGCCGGAGAGUAGAUUGGUAGAUAAGGAGGAGGAGGAGGAGGCGGAGGCGGAAGUGAAUGAAUGUAGCUCAUCGGCGUCCUCAACGACGUCGUCCAUUGGAAAGAAUAGCGAUCUGUCGGGGAGAGAGUCAUUAGAUGGUCAUGGUCGACGAGAAAGAGAAAGAGAAUAAUGGGUUUAGAGGAUUCGUCGUCGUUAGGAUUCGUCGUCGUUGGGUUUGGGGUGCUGGCCUGGGUUGGGUAUCAGAGGGGGAGGGGGAGGGCUAGGCUCAUGAAAUCGGUUAUUUCGGUUUGAUCGGUUAUUUAACACGUUUAAAUCGAACCGAACCGAAAACCGAAUAAUUUUAAAUAUAUUAACCGAACCAAACCGAUCAUCCUGAUUAACCGAACCGAAAAACCGAAAUUAAUCGGCUCGGUUCGGUUUUUCGGUUUAAACCGAAAUAUGCACAGGCCUAGCUGAAAUGAGACUGUGUUGUGAUUGGUUGGAACCUGCAAGAGAGAAAACUUGAGGUGGUGGUGGAUGCCCAUGACACUUCGACGCUCAAGUUAAUAUCUUAACAAGUAGAGAGAAUGCAAUAAAUUGUUUAAAGUUUUAAUGGU
rnacentral:lncRNA from 1 species